rnacentral:tRNA from 1 species
AGCCCAAUAACUCAGUGGUAGAGUGUCGUUCUUAUAUGGAGAAUCUGAGAAAUCAGCUUCAUAUGCCAGAAAUGCGAAGGUCGCGGGUUCGAGCCCCGUUUGGACUA